rnacentral:lncRNA from 1 species
CAGCGGUGUCACCACCCCAAGGGACAUUGGGGACAUCAGGGACACCGGGGACAUUGGGGACACUGGGGACAUUGGGGACAGGGACAGUGGGGACAGCGGUGUCACCACCCUGCAGGACACUGGGGACACUGGGGACAUUGGGAACAGGGACCUUGGGGACAUCGAUGUCACAGCCCUGAGGGACACACAAGGUUUUGGGGACAGCGGUGUCACCACUCUGAGGGACAUUGGGGACACUGGGGACAGAUACAGGGGUGACAGGGACCUUGGGGACAGUGACGUCACCGCCCUGAAGGACAGUGGGGACAGUGAUGUCACAGGUCUGAGGGACAUUGAAAGUGUUGGGGACCUUGGGGACAUCAAUGUCACCACCCCAAGGGACAUUCAGGGUGUUGGGGACAGCAAUGUCACCCCCUCAGGGGACUCUGGGGACAGGGAUGGUGGGGACAGCGAUGUCACCGCUCCAAGAGACCUUGGGGACAUCGGGGACAUCGCCGUCACCGCCCAGGGUGACUUUGGUGACCUCGGUGGCCUCGGGGCCGUCGCUGUCACCUGCCGGGCCGGUGGCAUCACCAUCACCGUGGUGGCCCCGCCCCCCGAGGAGGAGGAGGAGGAGCCUCUCGAUGAUGACGUCAUAGCCUAUGAUGUAACUGCUGCCAAGGAGGGAGGUGACAUCACAGAGGGGCGGGGCAGCCCCUCCCCUCCCCCCAUCGGUGAUACGGAUUCCUGUGUGCCGGGGGAUGACGUCACCGCCGAUGUCACCGAUGGUGAUGACGUCACUUCCUCUGUGCUGGAGAAAGCUUUUGCUGGUGAUGUCAUUGACGGCAGUGACGUAAUCACUUCCCAUCCUGGCAGUGGCCUUGCCGAUGAUGUCAUCACCUCUGGGAGUGACAUCACCGGUGACGUAACCACCCCAGGAUGUGACCUCAUCGAUGACAUCGUAAUAAGCCCUGACCUCACCCAUGAUGUCACCACCAAGAAUGACUAUCUGCAGGAACUGGAUGACAUCACAAAUGACGUCAUCACCUUUCACGACACCGCCGAUGACAUCAUCACACCCGAGAGCGACAUCUCUGAUGAUGUCAUCGAGCAUGGCUACCCCGGUGACAUAAUC